AACCUCCACAAUGUGAGAAAUCGCGACGGGGGGAUCCCAAGUGCCAUUCUUAACGGGAUGGCUUUUCAUUAGUGUAAAGAGCUUUUGGAAUAAGAGCUGGGCAAGACCGGUGCCAGCCGCCGCGGUAACACCGGCAGCUCUAGUGGUAACAAUUUUUAUUGGGCCUAAAGCGUCCGUAGCCGGUUUAAUAAGUCUCUGGUGAAAUCCUGUAGCUUAACUGUGGGAAUUGCUGGAGAUACUAUUAGACUUGAGACCGGGAGAGGUUAGAGGUACUCCCAGGGUAGAGGUGAAAUUCUGUAAUCCUGGGAGGACCGCCUGUUGCGAAGGCGUCUAACUGGAACGGUUCUGACGGUGAGGGACGAAAGUUAGGGGCGCGAACCGGAUUAGAUACCCGGGUAGUCCUAACUGUAAACGAUGCGGACUUGGUGUUGGGGUGGCUUUGAGCUGCUCCAGUGCCGAAGGGAAGCUGUUAAGUCCGCCGCCUGGGAAGUACGGUCGCAAGACUGAAACUUAAAGGAAGU
rnacentral:rRNA from 1 species